rnacentral:lncRNA from 1 species
UCUCGCGCCGAGGGGCAGAGGACAGACGGAGCGGAGCCGCGGGGACCCCACCCAAGGGGCUCUCUCACCUGGGGUUCAGAACACCAGCGAGCUGCUGUAGCUGCAAGCGCAGCCAUGGACCUUUCAAUUUGCGCGGGAUCGAGAGGCCCCGCCCAGCGGACAUGACGUUCUUGGGCGUCCAGAGCAUGAACCUCCACCUCCCGUUUUCUAGAACCCGACCUUCCUCUUAUCUGGGUCCUGAGCCCUUCCUUGCAAGACUCCUCUGA